rnacentral:ncRNA from 2 species
ACCGUCGUGAGACAGGUUA